GGGGACCUUCGGGCCUCAUGCCAUCAGAUGUGCCCAGAUGGGAUUAGCUAGUAGGUGGGGUAACGGCUCACCUAGGCGACGAUCCCUAGCUGGUCUGAGAGGAUGACCAGCCACACUGGAACUGAGACACGGUCCAGACUCCUACGGGAGGCAGCAGUGGGGAAUAUUGCACAAUGGGCGCAAGCCUGAUGCAGCCAUGCCGCGUGUGUGAAGAAGGCCUUCGGGUUGUAAAGCACUUUCAGCGGGGAGGAAGGCGAUAAGGUUAAUAACCUUGUCGAUUGACGUUACCCGCAGAAGAAGCACCGGCUAACUCCGUGCCAGCAGCCGCGGUAAUACGGAGGGUGCAAGCGUUAAUCGGAAUUACUGGGCGUAAAGCGCACGCAGGCGGUCUG
rnacentral:rRNA from 1 species